UACGAAGGGGGCUAGCGUUGCUCGGAAUUACUGGGCGUAAAGCGCACGUAGGCGGUCUUUUAAGUCGGUGGUGAAAUCCUGGAGCUCAACUCCAGAACUGCCUUCGAUACUGGAAGACUUGAGUCCGGGAGAGGUGAGUGGAACUGCGAGUGUAGAGGUGAAAUUCGUAGAUAUUCGCAAGAACACCAGUGGCGAAGGCGGCUCACUGGCCCGGUACUGACGCUGAGGUGCGAAGGCGUGGGGAGCAAACAGG
rnacentral:rRNA from 1 species